GGUUGUUGCAAACUUCUUGCUGUACGAAUUGAUUUCCUUGGAAUCCUUUGUUCUUGCAGCUGUCCAUGUGGGUCAAAUCACGGUGACCCUUUAAAACCUCCAAAAAAAAAAAAAAACAGGUUAUUCUCUAUUUUGCAAAUUGCCAUCUCUACAUAAGUGUAGAAGAGCUAACAUCCUUAAAGAUCAGAGCCCGCAGAAUAGGCCCUCCUGGAUAUUUCAGGCUAAAGGCAACUUUCUUUUACAAAAGGAUCUGAGAAGCAGGAGCAAGGAAUUCAGGGAGAGAUCCAGGAAGACAUCUGACUCUGUUAAGAGACGACAUUCACAGCGACAAGGGGAGCGAAGACACUUGCAGCAAAGCAAAAUGAAUUCACAACGAUUGCAUCAGAGCUGCAGGUGUGAGAGAGCCUAAGCCUGUCUCAGAGUGCAGGGGACAAGUGGAAAGGAAUGUGUAAGAAUGCCGGUGACUCAGUUAGAAGCAUGCUUCGAAGCUGUCCGUGUACUUGCCACCCAGAAGCAGAGCCUGGGGGCUACAGAAUUUCUCCAGAAUGCAGUUUACAUUCACCUUGACAAGGACAACACUAUGGCAUGAAGUCUUUGCAUCUACCAUUCCUGUAAGUUUCUCCAUCACCCAAGAAAGCUGUUAACAGCCAGGAGGAGGGUCCCAUUUUUGGAGUUGAAAGGUUACUCAUAGGAGUUUUACUUUUAUUCCAAAAAAUUCAGUGGAGGUAACCAAAUCGAGGACAACAUUAGACCAGCCUCUUACAUAACCACUCAGUCCUGAACCCAGUGUCUUUCAACUUGGACCCACUCAGGACGUUUUCACUGGAUAAGGAGACUGAGGAUUAAGUCUUCUCUCUUUUUGGGGGAGCUCAUUAUCAAUGACUGGAAGUUGUAAGAAAAAAAGAUAUUGAUUCAUCCUGAGAAAACAUUUUUCUGAGAGUCAGCAUUGAAGAAGGUGACCACUGAAGAGGGUGAUCAUUGUUCGAGUGAGACGAGCCCCGUGUGGUACGGAGUCAGCAUCCCAGUCCUGGACACGGCACUGUGCUGCAUGGUGGGUGAGGCGGCGUGGCCGCGCAGGGAACGAGGAUGCCGGGCCAUUGGGCUGUGCUCAGGCCUGGUGAGGCUUUCUCUGAAGAGCAGUGGACCGUCAUUGACAGAUUUUAAGUAGGGGAGUGGGGUGCUCUCGUAGAUCACAGUUGUGUUUGUAGAAUGCUUGCAAACAUUCAGUAGGCUCGGCAGAAAGUGAUGUGACGAAUCAGAGUAGGGUGGCUGCGAGGUGUAGCAGUGUUCAGUUUUCAAGUGGUUUUCAGUCCCAGGUUUGUGGCUCAGUAGCCGUGUCACUUUGGAUGAUGCACUCAAGGAAGUGAAACAAUUUAUCUAAUCAAUUAAAGCAGUGAUGUACCGACUUCCCAAGACUGCUGUGGCAAUCCAGUGAGAUUACGUG